rnacentral:rRNA from 1 species
UAGGGAAUCUUCGGCAAUGGACGAAAGUCUGACCGAGCAACGCCGCGUGAGUGAAGAAGGUUUUCGGAUCGUAAAACUCUGUUGUUAGAGAAGAACAAGGACGUUAGUAACUGAACGUCCCCUGACGGUAUCUAACCAGAAAGCCACGGCUAACUACGUGCCAGCAGCCGCGGUAAUACGUAGGUGGCAAGCGUUGUCCGGAUUUAUUGGGCGUAAAGCGAGCGCAGGCGGUUUCUUAAGUCUGAUGUGAAAGCCCCCGGCUCAACCGGGGAGGGUCAUUGGAAACUGGGAGACUUGAGUGCAGAAGAGGAGAGUGGAAUUCCAUGUGUAGCGGUGAAAUGCGUAGAUAUAUGGAGGAACACCAGUGGCGAAGGCGGCUCUCUGGUCUGUAACUGACGCUGAGGAUCGAGAGCGUGGGGAGCAAACAGG